UACGGAGGGUGCGAGCGUUGUCCGGAAUCACUGGGCGUAAAGGGCGCGUAGGCGGCAUGCCAAGCGUGUGGUGAAAGCCCGGGGCUCAACCCCGGGUCGGCCGUGCGGACUGGCGUGCUCGAGCACUGUAGGGGCGGGUGGAAUUCCCGGUGGUAGCGGUGAAAUGCGCAGAGUAUCGGGAGGAACACCAGUAGCGAAGGCGGCU
rnacentral:rRNA from 1 species